rnacentral:rRNA from 1 species
GACAGAGGGGGCAAGCGUUGCUCGGAAUUACUGGGCGUAAAGCGUGCGCAGGCGGCUUUGCAAGACAGAUGUGAAAUCCCCGGGCUCAACCUGGGAACUGCAUUUGUGACUGCAUGGCUGGAGUGCGGCAGAGGGGGAUGGAAUUCCGCGUGUAGCAGUGAAAUGCGUAGAUAUGCGGAGGAACACCGAUGGCGAAGGCAAUCCCCUGGGCCUGCACUGACGCUCAUGCACGAAAGCGUGGGGAGCAAACAGG